UCGGUCUGGGAUGGGCUCGCGGCCUAUCAGCUUGUUGGUGAGGUAAUGGCUCACCAAGGCGUCGACGGGUAGCCGGCCUGAGAGGGUGACCGGCCACACUGGGACUGAGACACGGCCCAGACUCCUACGGGAGGCAGCAGUGGGGAAUAUUGCACAAUGGGCGCAAGCCUGAUGCAGCAACGCCGCGUGAGGGAUGACGGCCUUCGGGUUGUAAACCUCUUUUAGCAGGGAAGAAGCGUAAGUGACGGUACCUGCAGAAAAAGCGCCGGCUAACUACGUGCCAGCAGCCGCGGUAAUACGUAGGGCGCAAGCGUUAUCCGGAAUUAUUGGGCGUAAAGAGCUCGUAGGCGGUUUGUCGCGUCUGCUGUGAAAUCCCGAGGCUCAACCUCGGGCCUGCAGUGGGUACGGGCAGACUAGAGUGCGGUAGGGGAGAUUGGAAUUCCUGGUGUAGCGGUGGAAUGCGCAGAUAUCAGGAGGAACACCGAUGGCGAAGGCAGAUCUCUGGGCCGUAACUGACGCUGAGGAGCGAAAGGGUGGGGAGCAAACAGGCUUAGAUACCCUGGUAGUCCACCCCGUAAAUGUUGGGAACUAGUUGUGGGGACCAUUCCACGGUUUCCGUGACGCAGCUAACGCAUUAAGUUCCCCGCCUGGGGAGUACGGCCGCAAGGCUAAAACUCAAAGGAAUUGACGGGGACCCGCACAAGCGGCGGAGCAUGCGGAUUAAUUCGAUGCAACGCGAAGAACCUUACCAAGGCUUGACAUACACCAGGACACCGUAGAAAUACGGGACUCUUUGGACACUGGUGAACAGGUGGUGCAUGGUUGUCGUCAGCUCGUGUCGUGAGAUGUUGGGUUAAGUCCCGCAACGAGCGCAACCCUCGUUCUAUGUUGCCAGCACGUAAUGGUGGGAACUCAUGGGAUACUGCCGGGGUCAACUCGGAGGAAGGUGGGGAUGACGUCAAAUCAUCAUGCCCCUUAUGUCUUGGGCUUCACGCAUGCUACAAUGGCCGGUACAAAGGGCUGCAAUACCGUGAGGUGGAGCGAAUCCCAAAAAGCCGGUCCCAGUUCGGAUUGAGGUCUGCAACUCGACCUCAUGAAGUCGGAGUCGCUAGUAAUCGCAGAUCAGCAACGCUGCGGUGAAUACGUUCCCGGGUCUUGUACACACCGCCCGUCAAGUCAUGAAAGUCGGUAACACCUGAAGCCGGUGGCCCAACCCUUGUGGAGGGAGCCGUCGAAGGUGGGAUCGGUAAUUAGGACUAAGUCGUAACAAGGUAGCCGUAA
rnacentral:rRNA from 1 species